rnacentral:rRNA from 1 species
UUUGUUUUUUUUUUUUUCCCUGGGAAAGUAAAGUCGUAACAAGGUUUCCGUAGGUGAACCUGCGGAAGGAUCAUUAC